ACGACUUCAUUAUAAAAUGAUUCAACGAUCAAUUUAAGCUCAUUUGAAAAAACAACAUGAAGCAGCGACACACUUGUUCGCCGCGAUGCGACCGUCAGACGGCGUCCAUCACCAUGAUGUUGAAGCUUUUGUUCAAGAAGUUACAUAAUGUUGCUGCGGUGACGUCACAGUGAUCCGUUCCCAUGACAGACGUGAUGCUGGGGUUCCCUGGAAGCUCUCUGCCGCUGGUUGAACCGCCGAGCAGCAGUUUUUGUUCUCCGUAUUCAAAGCGCCACUUUUUCUGAUUCACAAUAAAUAUCCUUCUGUAAAGAGAAACGUUUAUACAACCUAGAAACACAACAGGCCGUUCAGCAGCUGACAAAGAGAGCAGCUUUCUGCCACCCGGCUGCGCUGAGCUGAGCUGUUCAAACUUCUGCACAGUAAUAUGUUAAGUUUUUCAUUAAACUUCAAACAAAAUGCUGCAGAAAACUUUAAACGGUCUUCAACAGAAUACAACCCGGUUCUCAUCCUUGACAUUUAAGACGACUUCCUCUCAGAAACACACAGCUCACAUCACACUCUUAACAUUAAGAAAGUAAAUCGAACAGCUCUGCAUACAGUUUUUUCCAAGUAAAAUCCAAUUAUAUUCAAUUUACCGAAACAUUAAAAGUUACAGCUUUACCAGU